rnacentral:rRNA from 1 species
AAUGAACGCUGGCGGCAUGCCUAACACAUGCAAGUCGAACGACAGCACAGGGAGUGCUUGCGCUUGCGGGUGGCGAGGGGCGGACGGGGGACGUAUGUAUCGGAUACCUCUCCGACGGGGGUGAUAACGUCGGGAAAGUUAUGCUAACACAGCAUAUAACCUACGGGUGAGGGCAGGGGUUCUUCUGACUUUGUGCGAUUGUAAGAGCCGAUGUCGGCUUAGCUAGUUGGCGGGGUAAAGGGGCAGCUAGGCGACGCUGCGUAGCUGCUCCGAGCGGGUGAUCCGCUAGACUGGAACUGAGACACGGUCCAGACUCCUACGGGAGGCAGCAGUGGGGAAUCUUGCGCAAUGGGCGCAAGCCUGAUAGAGCCAUACCGCGUGAGUGAUGAAGGACUUCGGGUCGUAAAGCCCUGUUGUUAGGAAAGAAGAAAAGCUGGUUUAUCCCUGACGGUUCUGACGGUACCCAAAGAAUAAGCACCGGCUAACUACGUG